rnacentral:rRNA from 1 species
CCUACGGGCGGCUGCAGUGGGGAAUAUUGGACAAUGGGCGAAAGCCUGAUCCAGCCACGCCGCGUGGGUGAUGAAGGCCUUCGGGUUGUAAAGCCCUGUCGGGAGGGACGAAUCAAUGACGGUACCUCCCAAGAAAGCACCGGCUAACUCCGUGCCAGCAGCCGCGGUAAUACGGAGGGUGCAAGCGUUGCUCGGAAUUACUGGGCGUAAAGCGUACGCAGGCGGCUUGAUAAGUCGGGUGUGAAAGCCCCAGGCUCAACCUGGGAACUGCAUCCGAAACUGCCAAGCUUGAGUUCGGGAGAGGGAAGUGGAAUUCCUGGUGUAGAGGUGAAAUUCGUUGAUAUCAGGAGGAACACCGGCGGCGAAAGCGGCUUCCUGGCCCGAUACUGACGCUCAUGUACGAAAGCGUGGGGAGCAAACAGGAUUAGAUACCCUUGUAGUC